rnacentral:lncRNA from 1 species
UUGCUGGGAACUAGUCUCUAGUUCUUCUGACACGCUCCCUCCAAAGGCUGUAAAACCUUUACAAAUGCCAGCUUGUGUGUCUACACCCGAGGCUGCACCUUUACACAUGUAUGUGCUACACACAAACACAUACACACGACACAUGCACACACACAUUGUAGAAUCACCAGACACCAAGCUGAUUCCGGCAUCUUGAACCCCAAUAAUGCCUUUUGUUGGUUUUAUUCAGAAGCCUGUGAGCAUGGUGGCUGUGAUGGCAGAGAGAGUACGUCAGCCUGGCUGAAGCUACUCCAGGUCUCUCGGGCACUGUCCAGUUCUCUGAUCCCCACUGACUACACUAAUGAGAAUUUUGACAGGAUGGUCCUUGGCUCUCCCUCUGUGGGUUAAGCCUAUGCUCAGCUCUCACUCUCUAGUACAUUUUACCAUGCAGAGCAGUUUCAUUUUAUAAUGUCCUACAGACUUGUGGAAGAUUAUUUGUUGUGUAUUUUUCUUUCUGGGAUGGUUUUUCCUCCCAGGUAAGAGCAGUAUCUUAGCCUUCCUUAAAGAUCCGCGGUUCCUGAGUGUGGUUACCUUUUCCUUCCUGAUCCUGGUGUUUUUAUUAUAUCUAUGCUUUCCUUCCAGGAGUAGGGGGAGGCUCCAAGUGACAUCUGGAAUCUCCAUCUUCUGUGGGAAGCUCUUUAAGUUAGACAAGUGCUGUGAGCGACAAAAGGAAGAAAGCCAAUUAUGGCUUGGUGGAGUCUUGUCUCAGGUAUGUUGGAGGAAUGUGCAAGGUUCACAGCUCUCUGCUGUUGUCAUUUUGAUGCUAUGUUCACAGACAGCCACUAGAUCAGCAUGGCUGCAGAAAUAUUUCAGCACAAAAGGCAUUUUUCCAACACUACUAUGGGGUGUGAGGGGCACCUGACUGAUUAAAGAAGGGCUGUUGGGGCGGGGCUGUUAACCUAAGUGAUCACUGUCAAGUUUGCCAGAGGUGGCAGACCACUCCCUUCCCAGACACCCAGAACAUUCCUACAAAAGUCAGGUAGCUAAACAGACACUUGGCUCCCUUGUUUAUCAGAACAGUGGAUGCUAGGGCAAAUGUGGGAUGCCAGGGAGGUCACUGGUGCACCCCCAGAGCUCCAUGGCUAUGAAGCUAGGUAAACAGCCUUGUCUCAGGAAGCAGUGACAGCCGGCCAAGAACAGAUGAUCGCACCAUCUUUAGUCCACUACCAUGCCUCAACAAUGCAUGCUUCCGGAAGUUCUAUGACUGAGAAACAGCUUUUGGUGUGACUGCUACUGUCUUCAGGAGGGAGAAGCAGUUGAGAAGGAUUUCCCUCAAGGAUCUAGGCACGGUACACUCAUGUCUGGUGGAGUUGUGGGUAAGGGACUGUAACUCCCAAGCAGUGAACAUGGCUCUGACCCACCAGUGCCUGGUUCUCAUUUCCUCUCAGUGUCGUAAUGAAAAAAAAAAA